UUGCCAAGGGAACAGCGUUCCCGGAAGCAGGAGGGCUUUGGACGCGCAGCCCCUUCCCCUUCCAGAGAAGCCGAGGUGGCGGGAAAGACCCCUCCCCUUGGGGGACAGGCGGUGACGCUCUGCGCCCGUCAGUGACCCGCCGACCGGUGACUGCCUCCCGGAGUUGUGCCCGGAAGGAUAUCAAUGGAUAUUAUAAAGGGAAACUUAGAUGGAAUUUCAAAACCAGCCUCCAAUUCAAGAACACGUCCUGGGAGCAGAGAUUCAAGUACUUCUUUGGAGGUGCUCUCACCGGAACCAGCAUCCUUCAAGAUUGAUACUGCAAUCAAGUUGAACUUUGGUAAAGAGAGCAACUCAGACAGCAGUAAUGCAGAGGAAAGUAGAAACAAUAAUGAUGAUAAAGGGGAAAAUGAGAAACCAAAAAUGGUGGAGGAAGAGUCAGAUGAAGAUCUGAACUUUGUUCAACAUCAGACAGCCUCUGAAUGUUCAGAUGAACCUGAAUUAAAAGAAUUAGAUUCUCAACUUCAAGAUGCUAUUCAGAAGAUGAAGAGGCUUGAUAAGAUAUUGGUGAAGAGACAAUAUAGAGAAAAAGAAAUUAAGAAGCAAGGUCUAGACAUGAGAAUAAAGCUGUGGGAAGAACUUAAGUCUGCAAAAAAUAGUGAAGCAUUGCAAAAUAACGAGGAGAUGGAAAAUACAAAAAAGUUUCUAGCUUUGACUGCUGCAUCAGAAGGAACUGCCAAUCCUACUCACUGUGAGCUUGAAGACACGUUUUACUCAGUGUUUCACACUCAGGUCCCUCCAGAAGAAUAUGAAAACCAUAUACAGAAUGACAAUCAAGAUUUUACUUAUGAUGUGGAAGGAAACGAGUCAUUAAUCAAAGCAGAAAAGAAACCUUUUUCAAAUACAGAAAACAUUGAGCUCAGGGGUAAACACAGCCAAGAUUUUAUUAAGCGAAACAUUGAGUUGGCCAAGAAUUCAGGAAAGCCUGUGGUCAUGACUGACAGAGAGAAGAAAAGGCUGAUUGAACUUUUAAAGGACUUAGAUGAUGGAGAUUCGGGGCUGUCCUGUCCUGAGGGUGAUGAGUCUGGCUGGCUGGUCCCAGGAGAAGGAUACACACUUGCAAUCACCCAGCACCAGCAGCUUGCUGAAAUAGACACAAAGCUCCAAGAACUUUCUGCAGCCUCACCAACAAGUUCUAGCUUCUCUCCAAAACUUGAAAACCAGAGUGACCAGGAACCUGACCUUAAUGUUGAUGAUAGAAAUAUGGAAAUAACACCAGGAGAAAAGGUGCUUCGGAACACCAAAGAGCAACGGGAUCAGCAAAACCGGCUGAGAGAGAUAGAUGAUAAACUAAGGAAGCUGAAGGAAAGUGUGUUAGAUUCAGCAUCACUUCUCUCUGAGGAACAGUUAAGGUGUCUUCUGGAUGAAUGCAUACUCAAACAGAAGUCUGUGACUAGACUUUCUUCAGAAAGAGAAAAGGAAGACAUUGAGGAUAUAACACCGGAGGUCCCCUGUCUUUCCAGAUCUAUCCUUUCUGAGCUCCUAAAUGGGUUAGAAACAAAAUUCACAGAGGUGAAAGAUGCAGAUGUGCUGGAGAAUGUGGAAUGUGAAACACGUACAGGCUACUAUCUCACCAAAGCCUUGACUGGGCAUUUCACAUCCCGGGCUCUUGUCAUCGAAGCAGAGAAUUUGAAAUGCCUCCAACUUUCUGAGGACAAAGUUAUUUGUGACACAAAAGACUAUUUUAUGUCGAAGACCCUUGGCAUUGGAAGACUGAAAAGGCCCUCUUUCUUGGAUGAUCCACUGUAUGGCAAAAAUGUGAGCCUUUCAUCUGAAGACCAACAUCUGAAAGUCAGCCCUCCAGAGAAACCAGAAAUGGAUGAAUAGGAGACUGAAGAUGUGAUGGAAGAAUGGAAAGAAUCUUAAAGAUUUGCUGGGUGUGCUUUUAAGAAAGUUGGAUUUUAAGAGAAGGGGAGGAAGACAGAAUGAUCUUGAGUAAUGGAUUUUGCCAUUGAAAGAGGGGACACCAUUUCAUAGCAGAAACAGAACUGUACUUUGGAAAGGAUUCAGUAGGACAUUUGAUUACCUUAGUAAAAUACAAAAUAUCCUGGUGGGGGGUCCACAUCUUAAAAAAAAAUCUUGGAAAGGACUCUUCAGGAGGCUCCACACCCAGCAUGGAGCACGAGGGGCUUGAACCCAAGACCCCGAGAUUAAGACCAGAGCCAAGAUCAAGAGUCAGACGGCUAACCUACUGAGAGCCACUCAGGCAUCCCAUCUGGCAGGAAUAGACUUUACCCACACCUCCUAACAAAGCCAGCAGAGAACAAAUAAACAUGGAUACGGUAAGUAUAAAUAUAAAUUUCCAUAUGAUUUAUUGUUGUUCCUUGUACAUAAGAAACAGUAAUAUACAACUUACACUGCUUUAGAAUGUAAAAUGGAUAAAAAUGUGUACAAAAAAAAAGCACAUUCCUAGAAAAAGGUAUUGGCAAAUAGUAAAAACUGGGGGGAGGGGGUAACAAGCAAAAAACAAAUCAAAAAACAAAAACCCCAACAAUUCUUCAAUUCAGUGUGCAAACAUUUUAUAAAAAUAGAAAUACUAACUCUACAGGCAGUAUUUCCUGAUAAAUUAUUUAAAUAGCAUAUCUACACAAUCUGAGAUCUAUUCCAAGGGCAAUGAGAAAAUAAUUUAUAAAAAUAAAGCAAUGGUAUAUAAGAUAGAAAAAAACAACUUUCAGAAAAUGUAUUUAACAUUUCCAUGCUAUUUUCUUAUUGGGAAUACUUUUCUGCAAAGAAUUUUUAUACUAUGUACAACAUUGACUUUUUUUUUUUAAAGUACUACAGUAGCUUUAAGUUUGUAAGACACUUAAACUCUUUCUGCUUGAUCCAAAAAUUCUUUACUCAGUCACACAACAAAUGAGGUAAUAUUUGUAUAGAAGUUUCACCUUUUGUUAUUUUUUUUUUUCUCUUUUGGAAAAACAAAAAAGUGUAGAUACUUUUCUUCUCCCUGGAAAUAGGCACAAGAGAUGGGGUAAAACAGUUAUGAAAGGCCUCGUGGCUUUCUUUGAAACUUAAAGACACUAGCAAACAGACAACUCAUUCCACUUGACAAAGAAAGAAGAUCCCAAAUCAUUCACUCUGAGCACAAAGUGAAGAGCAUCUUGCUCUGAUGUUCCUUGUGCCGUUCAUGAGACAUUGGUUGAUAAAUCUCCACUACCUGCUGUCAGACAUUUUCCAUAUGAAACCUAGAUUCCAGGUAGAACAGAGUUAAUAAAUAAUCUGUAUUUACAAUCUUACAGUCAUGAAGACUCCUAACAAAGCUGAUAUGGAUAGUCCUUACGCUUCUUCCUGUUCCAUGAAUAGUCUUUCAGACAGAUCCUCCAGAGUCAGAGAAGAACACCAUUUCUUGAGAGAAGACGAACAACCCUAGCCUACCACCAGCAUAAGUUUUGUCAUAGAUGGGUCCUGAAUCAGCCAUGAUUUUCUUCCCUUCAUACAUCACCACGCUGCAGGAGAAAGAAAAAUCUUGUUAAUGACACCCCUG